rnacentral:sRNA from 1 species
UUUAGAAAAUUCAUUUAAUAGUGAGAUUAAUGGAGAAUUUAACACAACAAAAGACUUUUGAUUUUUUCUCAAUUAUUUUUGCUAGUUUUUUUAAUUUAACUAAUGUAGAAUGACACAUGUCAUUUUCUUGUGUGAUGAUGUGUCACUCAUAUGGAAAGUGUUGGCCAACUUUUAUAUAUAUGAUUCUGAGAAAGCACAAGCAAAAUUCAAUAUUCUCUCCGUCGCUAAAAUUUUAUUGUCCACUAAUAAACUAGUUGUAACUGAAUUUUUUUUUUUGGUGAAUCAAAUCUUUUUAUAAUAUAUAU